AGAGCUUGGCGAGUACAAGAAACACCACAAAAUGUAGUUUCUUGGUUCUUUAGUGUAAAGUAGUAUAGGAUAGUUUAGUUUUAGAUAAUUUAUCCUUUCUUGUAUGUUAGCUACAUGAAGAUGAAGAUGGAGAUGAAGAAGGCAAGGAAAGAGCUCAUGUGACAAGGGUUACUUUACCUUUCCAACUCUUAUCUUUUGUAUUGGAAUCUAAGUUUAAUUAAUAUACAAGUUUUGGAUUUUAUGUUUAUUAUGUGUCUUUAAAAGUUUAUGCCUUGGAUUUAGUUGAACUUUCUAUGAUUGUUAGCGUUUAUUCUUUGGCUAUUUGAUGCUAUUAUUUUGAGCAAGUUAUUUAGCACUUUAGCUCUUUAAAUCAUGAUUAAUUUGGCACCAUUAAUUGUGAUUAUCUAAAGGUGUUGCUUCUUCAAUGAAAAUUGAGAUUUAACACUAGUUCAAGAAAUGCUAAACCUAGGGAGUACACUCAUGAGAGUAGAGGUGCACCUAUGUGGUUUUAGUGAUUCAUUUCAUGUAAUUUCAUAGAAUAAAUGAACUUGUAGCUAAUUUCAUAACCAUGAGAGUAGGUAUGGAUUAGUUAUAAGUAUAGUUGAUUCACUACAAAAGUAGGUUUCACAAACCUAAGGAAAUUACGCAUAACUAGCCAAAAUAGUAGUACUCAUUGAUCCAAAUAUAGCACUUGCAUGAGUAGUUAGGGACACCAUAACCUAAGGAGCUUUUAUUUACCAUUUCCUUGCAUAAGUUUAGCAUAGUUUUAUUUCUUUAAUUUAUUGAUCGUCUAAAUAAUAGAGAAGGUUUAGUAGUGCCAGUAAUUGUCCAAUCUUUCUCGUGGAUCGACCGAUAUAGGCCCUAAACUACUAGUUGACCUGUAUACUUGCAGUCAAAACGGGUAUAAAUUGGAUUUAAACUUGUACUCAUAUCAAAAUUCCGCCAUAUUUAUUUUUGAUGAUGUUCUGCAAAUCUAUGUAUAAAUUACAUGUUAUAAAAUAGGAAUAUUUUUUCUUUUUAGACUUCUAUCUUUUAUAAUUUUAAGCAGCAUAUUAAUUUUACUUAAAUUUUUAAGCGGAUGUAAAUGUAUACCAUGUAAUAUAAAUUUAAAUUUGAAAUUCAUUUUUCGCUUAGAAGACAUACAUCUACACUUGUUAGUGUAAAAUAUCAUCUACAUCAACUGUGUAUGAAAACUUAAUCCAUUGAAAACUCAUAAGCGUUAAUCACUUAUAAAGGAAACUCAAUUUAAUCCUAGAUACAAUGUCUAAUCUUGAAUUUAAUGAGUCAAAAUAAAUCAUUUUAGUGAUUGUGGCAUUAUGCUAAAUUCAUGCUAAAGGAAGAUAGUGCAAAUCUCAACUUACGGAUCUUAAAAAGUGCUUGAACUGGCAGGGCCUCAAAUCUUGUCCAUCUUCUCUAACAGACUAGCUAUAAAGAACUUUUCACUAAUGCGGUAGAGUCAAUAAAUUAAUAUAUAUAUGCGGGCGGCAUUAAUGUUUUGUCUCCCGGAAACAUUAGUUACCACCUUUUUUUGAACCCCAAAAAGAAAAAAAGACAAUGGAAUUGCUUUUUCUUUUGUUUUUUUUUUUUGUGUAUAUAUAAAAUUCACAAGAAGCCUUUUCUCAAGUAGUCUUCCACUCUUCCCUGUUUGGGAACUGCACACAAAUAGAGCUAGCUUUAAGUUUCUUUAAACGAAGUCGAUUUGUAAUACAUAUUUUUAGCAUUAUUUGCAGAAACCACUUAUGAAAAGUUGCAACAGGAUUGGGACGCAGACGAGAAGUUAUACAAAUACUGGGAACAAAUCAAAAGGGUGAUAAAAUAUCACCACGUAGACAAUAGGGAGUUCAUGUUGAUUGAUACUUGAUGGUGAUCAUUGGGGACUCUUCCUGGGACACCUAUCAAUCAAGCGGCAAGGCCUGCCUGGACGCCCACCAGGAAUGCAAUUCGCGUACCUUAACAGAUUGCAAAUUGGCUUUGUCGUCCCUGAUGCACGGUAAACAAUAGGUCUGCGGCCUGGGGGAUCGGCGAGAACAUUGCCAAACUGAGAAUCCAUAAGGAAUUCUUGGUCGCCCGCUACAACAGUACUGCCGACCGUGGAAUCGCCCCACUCCCAGCUAAUGCUGCCAUUAACACUUUGAAUACUUGUUGCGCUGAUGAGAACUAUCGUAGUAAGCAGCAGCCAUGCCACCACUGGGAAGAUGCACAGGCUCUUUGAUGCUGAUUUCUCCAUCUCUCCCUGCUAUCUCUUGCUCUCUUGGAGACCUGAAUAGCUUUCUCUAUUUGUACUAAUAGACCUCGUACCUAGUUUACUUGAUAAUCGUAUUAAUGAACGUAUGGUUGUAGUUGGGACUGAGUUAAUUACUUUAAUUAGAGCUCCUCCAUGUUAGGUGGCCGUCAG
rnacentral:lncRNA from 1 species